rnacentral:rRNA from 1 species
CCUACGGGAGGCAGCAGUGAGGAAUAUUGGUCAAUGGACGAGAGUCUGAACCAGCCAAGUAGCGUGAAGGAUGACUGCCUUAUGGGUUGUAAACUUUUUUUAUAUGGGAAUACAACAGGGUAUGCAUACCCUCUUGUAUGUACCAUAUGAGUAAGGAUUGGCUAACUCCGCGCCAGCAGCCGCGGUAAUACGGAGGAUCUGAGCGUUAUCAGGAUUUAUUGGGUUUAAAGGGUGCGUAGGCGGCAUUUUAAGUCAGCGGUGAAAUGCUGUGGCUCAACCAGAGAAUUGCCGUUGAAACGGGUAGACUUGAGUAUGUUUGAGGCAGGCGGAAUGCGUGGUGUAGCGGUGAAAUGCUUAGAUAUCACGCAGAACCCCGAUUGCGAAGGCAGCCUGCCAAGCCAUGACUGACGCUGAUGCACGAAAGCGUGGGGAUCAAACAGGAUUAGAUACCCCUGUAGUC